rnacentral:rRNA from 1 species
UGGGGAAUAUUGCACAAUGGGCGCAAGCCUGAUGCAGCCAUGCCGCGUGUAUGAAGAAGGCCUUCGGGUUGUAAAGUACUUUCAGCGAGGAGGAAGGCGUUGUGGUUAAUAACCGCAACGAUUGACGUUACUCGCAGAAGAAGCACCGGCUAACUCCGUGCCAGCAGCCGCGGUAAUACGGAGGGUGCAAGCGUUAAUCGGAAUUACUGGGCGUAAAGCGCACGCAGGCGGUCUGUCAAGUCGGAUGUGAAAUCCCCGGGCUCAACCUGGGAACUGCAUCCGAAACUGGCAGGCUAGAGUCUUGUAGAGGGGGGUAGAAUUCCAGGUGUAGCGGUGAAAUGCGUAGAGAUCUGGAGGAAUACCGGUGGCGAAUGCGGCCCCCUGGACAAAGACUGACGCUCAGGUGCGAAAGCGUGGGGAGCAAACA